rnacentral:rRNA from 3 species
UCUCGUGGCACUAGCGAGUUGGCAACACCUGAUCCCAUUUCGAACUCAGUAGUUAAGCGACUCAGCGCCGAUGGUAAUAGCUUAUCAUGGCUGUGAGAGUAGGUCGUCGCGAGAG